UCCCUGGUGGACUAGUGGUUAGGAUUUGGCAUUCUUAUGGCUAUGGCCUAGGUUCAGUUCCUGGUCAGGGAA
rnacentral:tRNA from 1 species